AAAUUUUGAAAGUGUUUUCUGAAACAACCUGUAUAUAAUAGUGUUUCUCUUACAACGCCGAAUUUAUAUGGUUCUAUGUGGACCCAAGAUAUUAAACUUAUUUUUGGAAGUUGGCGGAGUGCUUCAAGCCUGCUUCACCUCCGUCGCGGUAGGCCCGGUAUUGCACUAUCUCCGGGAUCGGACCCCACAUU